AGGAUGAACGCUGGCGGCGUGCUUAACACAUGCAAGUCGAACGGUGAAAGAGGAGCUUGCUCCUCUGGAUCAGUGGCGAACGGGUGAGUAACACGUGAGUAACCUGCCCCAGACUCUGGGAUAAGCACUGGAAACGGUGUCUAAUACCGGAUACGAGCUUCAGCCGCAUGGCUAGGAGCUGGAAAGAAUUUCGGUCUGGGAUGGACUCGCGGCCUAUCAGCUAGUUGGUGAGGUAAUGGCUCACCAAGGCGACGACGGGUA
rnacentral:rRNA from 1 species